rnacentral:tRNA from 1 species
GGGAAUGUGGCUCAAUGGUAGAGUGCCUGCCUAGCAAGCAUGAAGCCCUGGGUUCGAUUCCUCAGUACCA